GACGAACGCUGGCGGCGUGCUUAACACAUGCAAGUCGAACGGAAAGGCCCUGCUUUUGUGGGGUGCUCGAGUGGCGAACGGGUGAGUAACACGUGAGUAACCUGCCCUUGACUUUGGGAUAACUUCAGGAAACUGGGGCUAAUACAGGAUAGGAGCUCCUGCUGCAUGGUGGGGGUUGGAAAGUUUCGGCGGUUGGGGAUGGACUCGCGGCUUAUCAGCUUGUUGGUGGGGUAGUGGCUUACCAAGGCUUUGACGGGUAGCCGGCCUGAGAGGGUGACCGGCCACAUUGGGACCGAGAUACGGCCCAGACUCCUACGGGAGGCAGCAGUGGGGAAUAUUGCACAAUGGGCGGAAGCCCGAUGCAGCAACGCCGCGUGCGGGAUGACGGCCUUCGGGUUGUAAACCGCUUUCGCCUGUGACGAAGCGUGAGUGACGGUAAUGGGUAAAGAAGCACCGGCUAACUACGUGCCAGCAGCCGCGGUGAUACGUAGGGUGCGAGCGUUGUCCGGGUUUAUUGGGCGUAAAGGGCUCGUAGGUGGUUGAUCGCGUCGGAAGUGUAAUCUUGGGGCUUAACCCUGAGCGUGCUUUCGAUACGGGUUGACUUGAGGAAGGUAGGGGAGAAUGGAAUUCCUGGUGGAGCGGUGGAAUGCGCAGAUAUCAGGAGGAACACCAGUGGCGAAGGCGGUUCUCUGGGCCUUUCCUGACGCUGAGGAGCGAAAGCGUGGGGAGCGAACAGGCUUAGAUACCCUGGUAGUCCACGCUGUAAACGGUGGGUACUAGGUGUGGGGUCCAUUCCACGGGUUCCGUGCCGUAGCUAACGCUUUAAGUACCCCGCCUGGGGAGUACGGCCGCAAGGCUAAAACUCAAAGGAAUUGACGGGGCCCCGCACAAGCGGCGGAGCAUGCGGAUUAAUUCGAUGCAACGCGUAGAACCUUACCUGGGUUUGACAUGGAUCGGGAGUGCUCAGAGAUGGGUGUGCCUCUUUUGGGGUCGGUUCACAGGUGGUGCAUGGCUGUCGUCAGCUCGUGUCGUGAGAUGUUGGGUUAAGUCCCGCAACGAGCGCAACCCUUGUUCACUGUUGCCAGCACGUUAUGGUGGGGACUCAGUGGAGACCGCCGGGGUCAACUCGGAGGAAGGUGGGGAUGACGUCAAGUCAUCAUGCCCCUUAUGUCCAGGGCUUCACGCAUGCUACAAUGGCUGGUACAGAGAGUGGCGAGCCUGUGAGGGUGAGCGAAUCUCGGAAAGCCGGUCUCAGUUCGGAUUGGGGUCUGCAACUCGACCUCAUGAAGUCGGAGUCGCUAGUAAUCGCAGAUCAGCAACGCUGCGGUGAAUACGUUCCCGGGGCU
rnacentral:rRNA from 1 species